rnacentral:rRNA from 1 species
AUAGUAUGAAUGGUAUAACGAGUAUAACACUGUCUCAGAUAAAAAUCUUAUAAAAUUAGAAUAAUAGUAAAGAUACUAUUUUAAACUGUAAGACGAGAAGACCCUAUAGAGCUUAACUAUAACUCUUUAAAAAGUUGAUAAACUAGUUUAUCAAUAAAAAGAGAUANGUAGUUUAGUUGGGGCGACUACUUUCUAAAACUAACGAAAGUAAACAAGAAUUAAUUAAAAAAUUUACUGUUNAAUUUAUGAAUUUAACAGUUAUUAUAAUAGGUAAUAAUGACCCGUUAAUAAUUGAUAAUAGUAUUAACGAUCAAUAAAUAAAAGCUACCUUAGGGAUAACAGGAUAAUUUUGUUCUAGAGAUCAAAUCGAAAACAAAGUUUGUCACCUCUAUGUUGAAUUAAGACAUCCUAAAAGCGCAGAAGCUUUUAAGGGUAGGUCUGUUCGACCUAUAAAGUCUUACAUGAUUUGAGA